rnacentral:rRNA from 1 species
GACGAACGCUGGCGGCGUGCCUAAUACAUGCAAGUCGAGCGGAACUGGGGGAGCUUGCUCCUUCCAGUUUAGCGGCGGACGGGUGAGUAACACGUGGGCAACCUGCCCUGCAGAUCGGGAUAACUCCGGGAAACCGGUGCUAAUACCGAAUAGUUUGGCGCCUCUCCUGAGGCGCUACGGAAAGACGGUUUCGGCUGUCACUGCAGGAUGGGCGCGCGGAGCAUUAGCUAGUUGGGGGGGUAACGGCCCACCAAGGCGACGAUGCGUAGCCGACCUGAGAGGGUGACCGGCCACACUGGGACUGAGACACGGCCCAGACUCCUAUGGGAGGCAGCAGUAGAGAAUCUUCCGCAAUGGACGCAAGUCUGACGGAGCAACGCCGCGUGAGUGACGAAGGUUUUCGGAUCGUAAAACUCUGUUGUGAGGGAAGAACACGUACCAACUAACUAUUGGUACCUUGACGGUACCUCACCAGAAAGCCACGGCUAACUACGUGCCAGCCGCCGCGGUAA